rnacentral:rRNA from 1 species
AUUGAACGCUGGCGGCAGGCCUAACACAUGCAAGUCGAGCGAGCGGCGGACGGGUGAGUAAUGUAUGGGGACUGCCCGAUAGAGGGGGAUAACUACUGGAAACGGUGGCUAAUACCGCAUACUAUCGGAUAACCCAUAUGGGAUUAGCUAGUAGGUGGGGUAAAGGCUCACCUAGGCGACGACCUCUAGCUGGUCUGAGAGGAUGACCAGCCACACUGGGACUGGGACACGGCCCAGACUCUGCCGGAGGCAGCGGUGGGGAAUAUUGGACAAUGGGGGCAGUCCUGAUGCGGCCAUGCCGCGUGUAUGAAGAAGGCCUUAGGGUUGUAAAGUCCUUUCAGCGGGGAGGCGUUACCCGCAGAAGAAGCACCGGCUAACUCCGUGCCAGCAGCCGCGGUAAUUC